CGGCCGCUAAUGAGCAGAAAGUUGUCGAAAACAUUUUGAAAAACAGCCGGAGUCCUUGGCUCAGCGAGAUGGCUCAGUGAGGAAAAGUAUUUGUCCCGAGAGUCCUGAUGCCCUGCAUCUGAGCCCUGAGCCACAGGGAAAGGAGAAAACUGACUCCCAAAAGCUACCCUCUGACCUCCACGUGUGCGCCACGGCGCUCAGACACGCCAUACUACCUGUGGCUCUCAAAGAGAUCGGCACUGUCCCUGCUGCUGGUUUAGGCUGUCAUCACAAACAAGGGCCUCUGUCAGCACCGAGUUGGGCAUUGGAGACAGUGAACUCUGUAAUGCAUUCCAGCUUCACAGUUUGCCUGGGACUCCUGAAGAUAUUCCAAGACUGAACAUCAUACUUCAUCCUGCAUCGAAGGAUAGGGACAUUUUAAUACCUCACUUCUUCAUGUCACCUAGUUUAUUUAUGAGGCUAUUUGCUUCCAUUUUUACACUUUGAUGGUCUUUAGCUCAUCUUGGGAUAUUAUUUUUACUUCAAUUAAGAUUGUAUCCCUUGGCUGGGCCGUGGUGGCACAUGCUU
rnacentral:lncRNA from 1 species